GUGCCAGCCGCCGCGGUAAUACGUAGGGGGCAAGCGUUGAUCGGAAUCACUGGGCUUACAGGGCGUGUAGGCGGGGCGGCAGGUCUUCUGUGAAAGCCCCCGGCUCAACCGGGGAAUUGCAGGGGAAACCGCCGCUCUUGAGGCAGGUAGAGGUGACCGGAACGUGUGGUGGAGCGGUGAAAUGCGUAGAUAUCACACGGAACGCCGGUGGUGAAAACGGGUCACUGGGCCUGUCCUGACGCUGAGACGCGAGAGCGUGGGGAGCAAACAGGAUUAGAUACCCCCGUAGUCC
rnacentral:rRNA from 1 species